rnacentral:lncRNA from 1 species
UUACAACAAUUGAAGCCAAUAUAGUGGAAUAUGGGCUCUAAAAUGGUAUGUCAGUAUUGAUAAAAGAAAACUGCCCAAGCUACAUGAAGAUUCAACCCAGGUAACCCAAAUAUGAAAAUAUGGUAGCAAAGUAAAGGAACACUAGAAACUAUUAAUGGAAAGUGGAAACUAUUACUGUGAUAAUUUAACUGGUCUCACUGUGAUAAUUUAUAACAGUAUAUUAAAUUAGUAUAUUACAAAUUUUAUAACAAUAUAUUAAACCAGUAUAUUACAUUAAUAAUUAAGGUGUAGUAUUUAUAACAGUAUAUUAAAACAAUAUAUUUAUAACUAUAACACCCUUAACCCGUAUCCGUUGUCAGAUUAGAGUUCCGAGGCAUUACUGAACAAGACACAGUUUAGCACAGUCAUUUAUCACCUUUCAUACACCAAAGAAUAACGAUUCAUUUAUAACAUUAUCAAACUUGAAUAUCCUUAAUUCAAUUAUUUUAAAUUCAAAUAUAUAUAUGAUAAUUACAAUUCAAAUCAAUCAUACCUUACUAAGCAUGUAUUAGAAAUAAACACAUUACAAAAUUCAAAUUAAUUCAAUUUAAACAUACAUCAAAGCUCAAUCGAACAUAUUCUAUAAUUAACAAAUUCGAACCAAACUUGUAUAUAUCAGAGUCAUGUUCAAGUAUAUAAUACUUUCAAUAUUCGAUUUCCCUAAAUCCAUCGUAUUAACGACAUUUUCAUAAUUAAAUCAUAUUCAAGCAUAUAUCCUCACUUUUCAUAUACAGGGAAUAUGUACGUACAUAAUUUCAUUAUCUAAAUAUCAAACUUUGCAUUUCAUAACUUCUGCAUAUGUACAUAAUGAAACCAAUAUGUAUACAACUUAAUGCCUAAUCACAAAUGCAACAUUAGUAAUAUUAUAUUUUAGCCUUGCAUACCUUUAAUGUCAUUAUAUUAUACACAUAUGCCCAUUUCAAUGAAAUCAUUCAAUCAUAAACUAUACACACUCAAUACAAAUCAACUUAUCCUUUAAUCGACUAAUCCAAUAAAUUUAUAAAAGUUAAAUUCAAACUUGUAUUACUCACUUAACUAUCAUUACCCGAAUUUGUAUGUAUCUUAUUCAUAAAUUUUAGGCCUACUUUAAAAAUCAUUUAUAUAUAUAUCAUUUAAAAGACCAAAAAUAUGCAUAUUUAUCUAUUACAAGUUUGCGCAUAUGAAUACACCAUUUUAGCCAUAUCCAAAAAUCCAUACAAUUCAUAUCAUUUUACAAAUACAAAAUCGAAUAUUAAGUCCACUUGCAUGAGCAAAUCGUAACUUUAUUAAAUACUCCACGUUCCUAAUUUAUUUCAUAACAAAUUGGCAUCCAUAAAUAACCUCAUAAAUUGUACAAGAUUUAGCCAUUAAAUCAUAAGUCAAAAUAUGCCAUUUCCUUAGCAAACCAUAUCGAUUCAAAUAAUAAAAUCAUACAUAUCACUUCACAUUUUCCAAACCUAUAUCCAUACACCAAUUUAUAGCAUAAAACACACUUCCAAAAUAGGUCUAGAUCAUGACCAAAUAUACACAUGUUCUUCCAUACCUUAUAACCGUACAUACACAUGCACAUUACUAGUUUCUUUCAAAUCAAUUUAUUAAUGUAAAUAUACUCUUACAAACCAAAUUUAACUAUCAUUUCAUCUAUGAUUUACUUAGCAUUUCACCUAUAUGCCAUAACCGAGUUCUCUUAAUUACUAAAUUACAUAACAAUACCUUAACAAAGCAUAUCAAACAAGAUUCACAUAUAUUUACUUAUAAAUAAACCAUAGUCGAAACACCAAUACCAAAACCAAACAUAUCACACAUAUCAUAUAUAUAUAUAACACAUAACCAAGAUUAAUUAAGCUUGAAUAUAAUUUACCUCAUUGCCGAAGCACGUGACAAAAACACCAUAACAUAUAUAUACCAAACUCACUUCACUUAUACGCUUCAUCUAAGCUCACCUAUGCCGAAUUAUUUACCACAUUCUUAACAAAACAUAUCAAACAUAAUUCACAUAAAUAAAUAUGCCAUAGCCGAGAUACCAAAAUCAACAUAUCUAACACUUGUUCAAAAGCAUAAAAACCAUGCUUAACAAAAUAAAUAAGCCAUUUUCGCAUGGCUCAUAUUAACAUACCCGAAAUCAAACAUAUUAACUAGACUAUACAUGCCAUAAGUUCAAUUUCAAACUUAGUAAAAUACCGAAAACAAUACUCGAUAGUGUGAUAGACUUCUCUGACGAUCGCCGAGCUCAUAACCAACUUCCAAAUCUAUAAAACAGAAAGCGAUUACACACAGUAAACUAUCAAAGCUUAGUAAGUCAUAAGCAAAUAAACAUUUAAUCAUUUACGUAAAUUAAGCUAGACAAUUAGUAAUAAACCAUUAUAAUUUCACAUAUAAUUCAAUUUGUCAACUUAUAUAUCAACACUUAUAUAAUUUGUAAUAACUUCCCUCUUUACCAAAUAAUCAAUUGAUAAUAUAACUAAUCAUCACUUUCCUCAAUACACAUAUACAUCAAAGGCCGAAUACAUAUAUAUUCAAAUAUGCAACCACAUAAUUCAUAUUUCACAUAACUUCAUAUCAUCAAUUCAAGUAUACAACUUACCUUAUUUUCAAAUAGAUAAUCAAUUAUCACAUACCUGGUCACUUAGCCUGAUUUAAACAUUCGUACACAACUUAUCUUUACCCGUUGAACCAUUCGGAAUUAAAAAGGAUACUCGGAUAGUCGGAAGGCUCGUACAAUGCCAACGUCCCAGACGUGGUCUUACAUGUAAUCACAUAUCGAUGCCACUGUCCCAAACAGGGUCUUACACAAAUCAAAUACGAUGCCAAUUUCCCAGACAUGGUCUUAUACGUAUACACAAUUCGAUGCCAACGUCCCAGACGUGGUCUUACACUAAAAUACAUAUCGAAAUCCUAUGUCAUGACAUAUGUAUCCUAACUAUUCCUAAGGCUCAUACGGGGCUUUCGGACGUCGUAACUCAGUUGAAACGAAUUCAUAAACAUAGCUGCCAAGCUUGUACACAUUCGGCUAAUACAUAUAUUUAUUCACAUAUUCAUUUCAGCACAUAUAAUUAACAUUUAAUUAAAAAUUAUAACAUCUAUUUGCUUAUAAACUUACCUCGGAUAUCGACGGAUGGAAUAGACGACUAUUCGAUUAUUUUUAUUUUUCCUCGAUCCAAAUCCAUUUUCUUUGGUUCAUGAUCUAAACAUAUUCAAAUUAAACUUAUUUAAACAUAAUUCCAUUUAAUUUAAUCUAAAAACACAUAAAUGGGCAAAUUACCAUUUUGCCCCUGACAUUUUACACUUUUUACAAUUUAGUCCCUAUUGCAUAAAACACAAAAUACACAAAAUUUGCAUUUAUCAUGCUAGGGCCGAAUAUUCCUAUAGUCCAUCUAAGUCCACACAUUUCAUUUAUUUCACAUUUUGACCCCUCAAUUUACACUUUUCUUAAUUUAGUCCUUAAUACACAUUUUUAUCAAAAAUUACUAAUUAAAACAUGAAAAUCUAACAACAUAUAUUUAUUUUCCAUCAUCUAACAACAAAAACAACAAGCUCUAUUCAAUGGCAUAUCACAAAAUACACAACCAAUUCAAAAAUUCAAGCAUGGGCUUUGUAUUACUCGAAGCAACGAUCUCAAAAACAUAAAAAUCAUCAAAAAUCGAAACCGAAAUAUAUCUUGAUUGAGCUUAGUAAUGGUCGAAUGCUUCAAAGCUCUUUUCUUUUCUUUUUCUUUAGCAACUUUCGGCAAGAUGAACAUGAUAAUACUUUUAAUUUAUGUUUUGUUUUAUUAUAAAUACAUUAUAAUAUUUUAUUUACUAAUUUAACAUUUAUAAGUUAAUAUAUAUAACAUAUAAUAUAAGGUCAUUCUUGACCAUUUUCAUCCACUAACUUAUAUAGUGGGCUAAUUGCAUCAUAGAACCUCCAAAUUAUAAAGACAACAACAAUUAGGCACUUUCAUAUUUAACCAUUAAAUUUUUAUUUUACGCGAUUAAGCCCUUUUUUCAAAUUUAGCUGACAAACAAUAAAAUAAAUUCAGGAAACUUUCACAUAUGUAAAUUCACACAUAAUUAACAAAAAAAUAAUAUUAAAAUAUUUUUCAAACUCGAAUUUGUGGUCCUGAAACCACUGUUCCGAUUAGAGUCAAAAUCAGGCUGUCACAAUAAUAGUAUAUUUAUAACAGUAUAUUAAAACAUUAUAUUAAAACAGUAUAUUUAUAACAGUAUACUAAAACAGUAUAUUAAAACAAUAUAUUAAAACAAUAUAAUAAACUAGUUAUUUAACUGCAAUAGAUCAAACUUAUAUUUACAGUAAAGAUCAGAGAAAGAAAGAAAAAAACUAACUUUUGAUUUUAAGUAAAACUUAUAUUUCCAACAUUGCUAAAUUAGCAGAGGCACCAACAAUGCUUGAAAGCACAAGAGGGUCAAUUAUACUAAUCCCUUGCCUUCUCAUCUUAACAAACAAGCCAACUACAUCAACCCCAUUUCCACUCUGUAUUAGCCCAGAUAUCAAAGCAGUCCAAGCAAACAAAUUUUUCAGGUGAACCCUUAAAAACAACUCCAAAGCCUCUUCUUUUCUUCCUUUUCUAGCAUAGCGAUAAAUGAUAGCAGUCCAAAAAGCCAUAUUUUUCAACUUAAUAGAAUCGAAAACUAAACAACUAUCAUCAGGUAAUCCAUAUUUUGCAUACAUAUCAACCAAAGAUGACUUAACAACAUCAUCAUCAAAAUAGGGUGAUACUAAAAAGUUGCCAUGAAAUUGCUUACCUUGUUUAAUAGCACCCAAGCUACCACAAGCCUUGACAAGGCUACCACCUGCUGUUUGUGAACCAGCAUGCAUGAAAGAAGCAGAAAAAAUAUACUUGUAUUUGAUCUCAGAAUUCAGCCCUGCAAAUUACAUGUUCUAUAAAACAUAAAUCAAUUCUCAUCCAAUAAUAAUUGAAUAAUACAAUUUUGCUCUUAAUUCUCAUCCAAAAUGAAAUUUGUUGUUAAUGACAGUGACAUAUUAGUUUAGUUUAAUUUAAGCAGUCAAUUUGGAGGGUUAUUUUUUCAAUUUUUUUAGAUUCCAUAAAACUUAAAUCCAAUUCUAUUGAUUUUCUUCCUUUUUCGGUUUUAAUAAAAGAACAAAUUUGCAACAAAAGAAAAAUCAUCAUUCAAGAAAAGAAAAUCACAUUAAUCCGCAAAAGAACUAAAAAAAAAUAGAACAAUAUAUAAAGUGUAAACACAAUCAAAAUCCCCCCAAGAUUCAGUGUCUCAAAAUCAAAAUCAGAAGAUCGUUAACAGCAAAAAUCAAAAUCACAAUCAAAAUCAAAAAGCAAAAAGGGAAGAAGACGUUGAAAAAUUAGAAAACCGUUAACAAGAAAUAGGGUUAACAGCAAACUUACCUUUGAAAUUCUACCACGUUGAAGGCUAGAGCGGAGGUGGAGUUGUGGAGGACUGGACACCAGAGGUGGAAUGGUGGAUCGGUGGAGGUGGGUUUUCGAUUUGGGGGAAAAAAAGGGAGGAGGGAAGGGGUUAGGGAUUUACAGAUACACGGGGUCGGGAAAUGGGAAAUGGGAAAUGGGGAGGGGAAUUGGGAAAUGUAACUGUAAU